UUAUUUCUGAGAGAGAGAGAGAGAGAGAGAGCAAGAGAGCGAGCGCAUGAACAAGGGAGGGGCAGAGAGAGAGAGACACACACAGAAUCUGAAGCAGUCUCCAGGCUCUGAGCUAUCAGCACAGAGCCUGACAUGGGGCUCGAACCCACGAAUCAUGAGAUCAUGACCUGAGCCGAAGUUGGAUGCUUAACCCACUGAGUCACCCAGGUGCCCCCAAAUAUCCAUCUCCUUAUAAAAACACCAGUCAUUGGAUUUGGGGCCCACCUCUGCCUCAUCUGGUAUAACAUCAUCUUCACUAAUUAUAUCUGCAAGGACCCUAUUUCCAAGUAAGGUCACAUUCUGGGGUUUUGAUGGGCAUGAAUUUUGGGCGAAGGCUUUCAACCUACUAUGGUACCAUUAAGGUUAGUGGACAAAUUCAUACCAGUUUAGCAAGUGCUCCUCUUGGUGAGGAAAAUCUUAUCAGCAUGUUUAAUUUUUCCAGACAAGUUUCAAAAGCUGGUCCUUUAAAACAUUCUGCAUGUUAUAGGCUGAACACCAUCCUGUAGAGACAAUUUAUAAAAAAUCAAAAAUAGUGUUUGAUUCAGACUUCCUUUGGCAUGAGAGCUGACAGAGAAUUGGGGUGGGAGGAGGGGGCUGAAUUCAACUCAGCCUACCACUUGUCCACUGACCAGAGGACAGACAUCCAUGAAAUCAGCUGAGGCAGCAUCAUCUGUAAUGCAGAGUCACUUUUCUGGUUGAUGCCAAGCAGAAUUAGAUUUGUGUGUUCUGAACAUUGAGCACCACAGUGUCCCAGGGCAGCGGUGAGAGAAUGGUGCCAGUCAGUACCUUAUUUAUGGACCUAAAAUUCAUGCAUAUGUGACUCUAGAUAGGUGUCCCCUCCCCUAGUUUUCUUCUUUUUUUUAAAUGUUUAUUUAUUAAGAGAGAGAGAGAGAGAGAGAGAGAGAGAGCAGGUGGUGGGGGGAGGGGCAGAGAGAAGGAGACACAGAAUCAAAAGCAGGCUCCAAGCUCUGAGCUGUCAGCACAGAGCCAGAUGAGGGGCUCAAACCCAUGAACCAUGAGAUCAUGACCUGAGCAGAAGUCAGAGGCUUAACCCACUGAGCCACCCAGGCGCCCCUCCUCCCCUAGUUUUCUCAUGUGGGAGAGACUCAUGGUACAUGGCGCUUAUCUGUGCAUUCCCCCAGUGGGUGCUGCUUGAAGUUCCUAACAGGUCCAUGUCCAAGGUAUGCUCCACUUCCUUCACCUGCUUGUUGUGAAUGAGAACCAGGUGAUGCUUACCAAGUCAGUAUCUGAAUAUGGUCAGCUACAUAAAAUACCCAUGAAACUUUCAUGGAAUCUACCUGAGAACAUUCAACUUCUAUCUGUUGCUGAUUGCCCCUGUGGGCAGGUCUUCUAUAGAGGUGAUUCUCAAAAUUUUGCAUGUAUACAAAUCACCCAGAAAUCUUAUUAAAAUGCAGAUUUAGGGGCACCUGGAUGGCUCAGUCGGUUAAACAUCUGACUCUUGAUCUUGGCUCAGGUCAUAAUCUCACAGUUCAUGGGUUCAAGCCCUACAUUGGGCUCUGUGCUGACAGUGCAGAGCCUGCUUGGGAUUCUCUCUCUCUCUCUCUCUCUCUCUGUUUGUCUGUCUGUCUCUCUGUCCCUCCCCCCUCUAUCUCUAUCUCAAAAUAAGUAAAUAAACUUAAAAAAAUGCAGAUUUAGGUUCAAUAUAUACUAGAUGGGCCAAAGGUUCUUCAUUUCUAACAAGUUCCUAGGUGAUGCUAAUGCUGCUGGCCCAUGGAAAGCUUAGCUAGCAAGGCUCUAUGUGAAAUGCCUCCCCCAAAUCCUUUCCAGCAAGUGUGCAGCCUGAGAAAGGUACUUGUGGGAUAAAGCUUAUGGAUUCUGAGAAUGAGAAAUAUAUCCACUGUCCAAGGGAUGCUUCCAGGUCUAGAGGAAAGAAUGCCAGACUGAAAGUUGGAAAAUAGGUAUUAGCCUUACACUCCUGGCUUUGCUACUGAGUAGCUGUAUGAUCUUGGAUACAUGUUUUAACCUCUUUAAUGCCUCAGGUUCUUUACCUGUAUAAUAAAGGUAUAACUUAACUUUCCCUAUCACUCAGAAUCAGUGAGAUGCACUGAGGUUAUAUAUCUUUAAAAUGUAAAGAUAAAAUGUAAUGUAAUGUAAUGCUUUACAUUAGUAAAGGUAAAUUGGUCUAUUCCUCCAAGUUCUCUAGAGAAUGAAAGACUGGUUAUUGGUCCAAACAGGAGAGCGCUGUGACGUAUCUGUCUGUGCCUCUUUGAGAGGUACUCUAGGACCCUGAGUGGUGCUCAAAACAUACUCAAACCUAAAGCUUUUGUUAAUAACUUCCAGUAAUUAAAUAUGCUUACCAUUUACUCAGCUUUUUAUGCAUGAAGGGUGUUGUCCUUGAGAAAGAUGUAUCAAGAUAAAUAAGGCAGGACUCUCACCUGGGGGAGUUUAAUUCCACUAUGAGAGCUAGACCAUAGACCCAGACAUGUGUAAUGGGGGUGGGGGACUUCAGUGAAGUACCAUGCUGGUCUGCUCUUUCCACUUCCCAAACCACUACCUCUUACAUUCAUACCCUCUGUUUCAAGGGGUCCAAUAUGUAUCUUGGGUGAUGAGAGAUAAUGUUGAAUAGUGGUUGAAACCAGAGGUCUGGAGCCAGGUUUGAUGUUCAGUUAAUCUAUUUGUGCCACAGAGAGGCUUAUCCAUACACUGGAGAGACUAUACUAGUAUCUGCCAUAGAGUGUUGUAGUAAGGGGUAAAUAAGUACGAAUGAUAUAUAUACGUGUAUACACACAUUUAUAUGUAUAUAUACACACAUGUAUAGCUUACACAGUAAGCUCUAUGGGUUAGCUACUAUCUUAUUGCUGAAUGGAAGGGGAGAACAGAGAAGGCAGUAGGGGCGGGGCUCAGCCGGGGUGGGGUCCAGGUGAGUGUGCUUCCUCCCCCUCUGGUGGAGAAUCCACAGGCAGAGUACAGGCAGCUAAGGGUGGAAAGCCCUGCCCCAGCACCAUCAGAUGGACAGUAAUGGGGCUUCCUGCUUGGAUAAUGUGGAGCCUUGAAUAGCGGUGAAUAGCGGUGAGUGACCCCCACUCUCUGGGUUAAUUUCCCUGCUACUCACUGGAGCUAGCCACACAGGUCCUGACUCCUGAGCAGCCCUUCCUCUUGCCCUGGCCCUCCAGGUCAGAAUGUCCUGCCUCCCUUGCAGAUUUUUCCCAAGGUCACACCUCAUUCUAUUCCCUCUUGUUGCCCCUCUACUACACUCCCUGAGGGCAGAAUGGGGUGGGGGUAGUGUGGUCUCCUCCUUUCUCUAUUUUCCUGUGCAAUGCUGUUGUUGUGCACACAGCACAUCCUGUUUGUCUCAGUUCUUCUGCUGUUCUAGCAGUAACAUAUGUAAGUCUUCAUUCCCUCUAUAGGUCAGCUCUGGGUGUCCAGGCGACGUGGAGGCCUCAUGAACAGAUGAAGGAAAAAGAGAAACAAAAAGUCCUAUUCAGUGUAUGAAGCCUCUACAUGGAUUGCAGGAAAAGUGUGAACACAGGAAAAGGAGAGCAGAAGAGUGCACACAUCUGUCUCUUGUCACUGCCAUACAAGAUGCUAUAGGGACAGGCAGGAGAGAUUCAGUCUGCAAAGCCCAGGUGUCCACUGGUGUGUGGCCAGGGAAGGACUAACCCUCAUGACAUCUGACAGUGGGGAGAAUGUUCACCAAGGGAAGGCUUAGGUGUUGGGGAAAGAAUGCCAGCUUCCUAAUUGUAACCUCUUCUAUGAAGCCUUGCUAGCUCUAGCCUGGAGAAAUUCAUUCAUUCAUUCAUUCAUUCACUUACUCAUUUAUUUAUUCAGCAAGGAUUUUUGGUAAGCCUUGCUUUUUCACUAUUUCAGGCCAUGUAAAGCUAUUAUAAUGGCAUAUACAUUUCUCAUUAUUGUCUGCCUAAUGAGCCUACCUCCCCUUCCUGUAACAGUGUGGAUCAAAGUAAACGUGGCUUUCCAUCAGAAUUUCAGUUCAGCAAAAGGAGAAGAAUGCACUAUAGAAUUUUAGCUCUGUCCCUUACUGGCUAUGUGAUCUUGAGCAAAUUACUUAACCUUUCUGAACUUAGUUUUUUAAUCAACAAAAUAAGAUAGACAGUACCUGUAUUAGUCAGCGUGGGCUGUCAGACAAUACCAUACAUUGGGUGGCUUAAACUACAGAUAUUUAUUUUCUCACAGCUCUUGAGGAUGGAAGUCCCAGAUCAAGGUCAGGCAGAGUUGGUUCCUGGUAAGGGCUCUCUUCUUGGCUUUCAGAGGGCUACCUUCUCUUUGUUCUCUCAUGGUGGAGAGAAAGAGACAGAGAGAGACAUAGAGAGACAGAGAGAGAUAGACAGAGAACUUUCUCUUCUUAUAAGGCCAGAGUCCUAUUGGAUUAGGGCCCUACAUUUAUGAUUUCCUUUAACCUUAACUAGUUCUUAAAGACCGUAUCUCCAGAUACAGUCAUGUACGGGUUAGGGGCUUUUGGGUAAGGGACACAAUUCAGUCUACAACAAAUGGCAUGUGGCCACUUUCCACAAGCACCUUCCUCAGUGGAGAGGCAGGUCCACAGGGAGUGCCCCAGUCUGGCCGUCCCCACUAAGGAGCAGGGUCUGAGCUGAGUGACGCUCCUGCUGGUAGUACGUUUCUUUUAGGGAGCCUCACUGUCCUUCCAGGCAGGGUCGUGGGUGCACUUCUCUUCUGGUCACAAGGUUUCCAGGCCCUGGGGUAAAUGCACAGAUGCACAUACCCACCAAGGAAGGGCUUGGACUGACUUCUACCUCCAACUGCAGAGCUUUUCACCAGGACAAAGGCAUCUGGUUAGACAAUUCUUCCAGAAAGAAUGAGCACUUAAAGCACUUGCUUUAACCUAAAUAAGUCAGAAAUACCUCUCAAAUGCCAUUUCUGAGAGCAGCAAUCUGCUCCAAAGGUGGUAUUUCCGACUCUAGAAAAAAGGAGGGCUAGGACUGGCGAAAAUGUUUUCUUCCCAGUGAUUGAGAUUUGUUUUAUUGGGUACAUCCCUAUAUUUAAAAGUGAAGUAAAUCUACCUUUUUUUUUUAAUGGGUUUAUUUUGCUUUCCUUGUUAUAUUCAGUGCUCUUUGUUAGAAGUCACUCUAGAGAAUGUGAGCAAUGAAAGACAAGCCCUUGCAGCUAGUCUUCCUGCUUUUGAAAAGUUUCUAAUCUAGUUUGAGAGACAAAGCAGAGGUAUGUGACAUGACUCAUGGAGUAUGGGACUUAAUAACAUUUCAGGGCAACAAUGAGCUGCCUACCCGCACCUAUUUCACAUAGUCAUGGUGAAAUUCAAAUGAGUAAGUGAAAUUCAAGGUGGUGGGAGCCCAACAAAUAUUGGUUGAAGAGAUGAAUACAUGCAUGCAUGCUUGCUGGCCAAUGUGGGGUGGGGUGCUGGGGACACAACAGUCAAGGGAGUGGGGCACCAGGGUGGUACCCUGGCCCUGGAGAAAGACUUGGAGAACAGCCACGCUGCAUGGCUGUCCUGGAGCUACACUUGUCAGUCACUCAGGGAUCUCAGCUCUUUCCAAGUCCUCCAGCACUUGAAUUAUCCAUCCAUUUACAAUGCUCACAGGCAACAGAGGAGUGGUUCAAUUUUUUUUUCCUUUCCACUUUUUGCCUUUCAAUUGAUAGAGCAGAUGGAAAUCUUGUUUCUCAAUUACCCAGUGUCCCCAUUUGAUCUGAGUACAUCUGGAAGGAGAUUAUUUGGAUACAUUUGCUUUUUAAAAAUGAGAGUCAAAACAGACAUGGAGUUGGGGGGAGACUUUUUAUCUUUGGUUUUUUUCCCCUGCCUGCCCCAUCAAUAUAGUUUCCCAAGAAAAACAAAGAAAUAAACUCUUACAACAUUAAGUCACAGCAGGGACUACUUCUGCUCCAUUCCUCUCAUCUCAAAAUAAACUUAAUUUAUAAGGACUGGGAGGGCUACAGUGAUAUUCUGCAAUGCAAAUAAAACACAGCAUGAACACACACACAGGAAGAAAGUUUUGCUCUGUAAAUAUACCCAGGAAGUUCAGAGAGGCAUAAAAAGUUGAGGCAGGCACUAGAAAUGAUUACUUUGGAAAUGAAUUGCAGUUUUCCAUUUUUAAGGGAACAUAUGUUGCUAUGGUUUUCUCUUCCAGGAUUGAUGAGAGGGUGGCCUUUAGCCAGUUUUUUUUUUUUUUUAACCCUGAUUGAUUUGGCUGGCUGUGUUGCAUUGGAAAUGCCCGUGACAACGCUGUUCUUUGGGUAUUUUCCUUCCCACUGGUUUCCUUUCCUACAGCCUGAGCAGUUCAGAGCAAUGUCACCACCAACUGCAAUUCAACCACUUACCAUUUAUUUCCUCUGGCAAUUAAAAAGUAUGCUAACCAAGCUAUGAUUUACCUACCAAUUGAACCAUAUCUCCCUCCCACAUGUCACUUCUCUGAAAUUCCACUUACAAGCCUAGAAACAAAGACUGAAUGAUAAAUCUUUUCCUGACCUUUCUGUGAAGUCAGUGGAUGAUAUUUGGACAAGGCAGGGAUCUAGGAUCAGCUUUCAACCAAAUAGUGAGGGUGGGAAAUCGUCCUGGGCACUGCCUUCCUCCUUUCUCUGUUGCUGGUCAUGCUAUGGCUCUCUGCAGACUCCCCAUCUUCCAGGAUCCUUGUUCCUCCAGUCAGGAGGAAGGCAGUCUGAUGACUGGGUUUAGGCCCAGGUGUUAGAGAGACAGUGGACUGUCAAUCUUAAGAAUAUUUAAAUUUAUUAAUUUAAAUAAUAAAUUAAUGCCUGUAAAUUAAUGCCUGUAAAGGGUGUGGCUUAACUGAAAUGCAUGUUAAUGGUGGGAUUUCAGAGUAAAUCUUGGAUUGGAGAAAGUAUUUGGGGUGAUGAAACAUUUCUUGACUUAAAAAACAGACAUUACCUACUUAAUUUUCUAUCAUCUGUGUAUGUAUGUGUGUGUGUAUCUAUCUCUGAUCCUGAGAGCUUAUUACUUACAACAACUAGUUGACUAUGCUCAGACAUUUAUGAGCAUGGCUCUCUCUUCAGGCAGGUCGGGAUGCUCCCAAGAUGUUCUCCAUACAAUGGCCAUGGGGUUCUGGCCUCUUUUCCCUAUGGGUAAGGAAUAGUCAGGUCAUGGGCAAAGUUUGGAAAGAGAGACAUUAAUCUUUUGCAUCCACUUUCUCUUUCCAACUUUUCUCUUCCUUAGGUGCUAUUUGGGGAUACUAUGAGGACUUUUCCCCUUAUAUUUGAGGCAAAUUUAAGGUUACUGAAGGAAACUAACCAUUAGAUUAUCAAAAGUUUUAAAUGAAAGUUGAAUCCCAAAAGUAAAUGGGGAGAAGCUUGCUAUUGCACAGAAUUGACAAAAGAGAGACUGAACGAUUCAAUUUAAUUUUUAAGAAUCCUUCGAGUUAAUUUUAAGAGCAUUAAAAACAUUUUGAUGAAGCUUGGUAUUUAAUGCACACUAUUGCCCCAGUGGUUGUAGAGUGGUCUCUCAGGUGGCACGAUGAAGGGGGCCAGUCUGGGGAGUAAGAGCUUUGUUUCUCCAGGGGUAUCCUUGCUAGCAAGUGUCAUUAGAUGAUUUACCAGGGUUGUCUAUUUGACAAGGAGAUUGGACUGGUCACUAUCUUUGUUUUCUGUCUCUUUGGGAUGAACGAAAGUGCCAUUCUUUCAUCCCAACAUGCCAUGCAAUAUAUGCCUGGGACCGUUCCAAGUGCUUUACCCAUAUUAACUCAUUCAGGCAUCCUAACAACUCAGUGAUGUAGGUAGUAUUAUUAUCCCGAUUGUAUGAAGGACCUGAGGCACAGAGAGAGGUUAAGUGUCUGGCCCAGAGUCACACAUUUUGUUAAGUAGGCAUUUGUGCCCAGGCAGCAGUUGGACUUCUGAGUCCACCACCCAGCCUCUCAUUUUGCCCCUUCGGCCCUGAUUUAUGCUUCUCAUCUAUCUCUUAUCCCACCGUGUCCUCUAUUAUGGCUCGAUCAACAUAUGCCUCUUCCCCUGCCACAAUUCCCUGGGAUUAGGAAUUGUGUUUUAUAUUUGUGUUUGUGUUCCUUAUAAUGUGAUCCGGGCACAUAGUGGGUAAACAUUAUAUGUUUGUUAACUUUAUAACAAAACCUUUAGAGUAAUUCCAUGGAAAAAGAGCAUGCUGCUGUAGGCCCUGAGAUCUCUUGCUCCAAUUGUCCUCAGUCCCAGGGAACAGACAGUGACCCGGCCUUGGGCCUUCCCCACUAGACUGUAGUGGGUAGUGUGUAGCAUGUGGAGAGAGACCCCUACAUGGGCUGUGGACUCAUGUGGGCUUCUUGGGUUUUGUUUCCUUUGUCCUGGAUAAUCUUAAAGUUGCCAUAAUGCCUUGGAUGCAGAUGAAAUCAGAGAAUCUGAGUGCCAAAAGUAAGCCCUGGAAAGUACUGCCAAGUAAAUGUCUAUCUGACCUACAAGACAUGUAUUUGUUUUCUUCUGGAAAUACUUCUCAGUCAGUCAUCACUGAUAUCUCCUUUUCAUUCCUUCUUCUUGUGAAAGAAGCUCUCAGAUACAAUUCAAUAUAAUGUAGAAGAGUCAAAUUAAAAAUAACAGUAGAACUCACACUUUGAAAGGAACAGCAAGAAUAGAUGUUCCCAGGCGCCUAAGAUGUGCUAAUUUAACAGUUUUUCAUUGAUCUUGGCUCCAAAAAAGUGAAAUAAAGUUACAUAAUUUUCCUUGUCAGAUACAAGAAAUCCUAUAAAAUUUUGAUAGAUGAUAACUGCUCCUUGGGACUAAACUCAAAGUGGAGCUUAUCCUCAAGGUCCUUGAAAUGGGGCAUUUAGUCAUGAGUGAGCACUGUCUUUAACCAUGAAUGACAUCGCUUUAGUGGAUUCCUCUCAUAUAAGGCCUUGUGGCAUAUCCCAGGUAUAUCUUACCCAAGACAUUUCUGUGGGUGUUGGGAAAUCUAUAUUGUGGUAGCAGAGCAUUUGAGGGUAUACAAAGCAUGUGCACAAACAUGAAUGAUCACCCUGGCUCAUUACUGGAACCUUCUGGAGGUUAGCAGCACAAGUAUUAUUGUUCUUACAUCUCAUGGGAAGUAAAUGGUAGGCCUGGGACUUGGAUCCAGGGCUCCUACCCUGAACUCUUUGCACUGUGCUAUGCAAGGUCCAAGUCCUUGCUUCCUAAUGAUAUAGUAAGGAAGGAGCCUAGAGACUUUAAGGAAAUCAUAUAGUUAACUUCAUAUGGUUCAUUAAAGUGGCUGUCUUCAUAUCCUUUCCAUUGAGAGUCAGAUUACCUCGUAAAUGACUACAGCACUAAUUCUCAGUAUUUUGGGGGUUUUGCAAUGUUGGUUAAAGUGAUUGGGGAGACAGAGUCACCAUUCUAUUGAGAGCAUGAUAAUUUUUAGAUCUAUCUCUCUGACAAAAUCACCCUAAGUGGCAAGUGGAUCUUUUUUUUUUACAUUUUUUUUAACGUUUAUUUAUUUUUGAGACAGGGAGAGACACAGCAUUAACAGGGGAGGGUCAGAGAGAGGGAGACACAGAAUCUGAAGCAGGCUCCAGGUUCUGAGCUGUCAGCACAGAGCCUGACGCGGGGCUAGAACUCACGGACUGCGAGAUCAUGACCUGAGCCGAAGUUGGCCGCUUAACUGACUGAGCCAUCCAGGCGCUCCGGGUCUUAUUUCCUAUUAUCUUUAAAAGGGUAAGGGUGGCUAUCUUCCUGUGGGCUGGGAAAGGUCUGAGGCUGCAUGUGAACUUGGCAGAUAGGAUUGGUAUUGGGUGAUGGUGGGGGAGGGGGAAACAGUGUUGGCACAUGAACACGUGUUAUUCAAACCCAAGACAGUCAGUUUUUACUUAAAAGAAAAAAAAAAGAGAUGCAGAUGUCACAAAUAUUGGCAAAAUAAUCUUGUUUAAUCUCAAAGGUAUGUAUCAUUUAUUAGGAAAAAAUUUAGGACAGGUGUUACCAGCCAAAGUCUUCAUUCAUCAAAAGAUCUUAGUAUAAUCCUGACGAAAUUUCUGACUUCAAAUUUAGCUGUAUCAUUGGAAUAGGCCCACCAGGAUGAAUUUUCUGUACAAGUAUAACCUUAAGUAGAUUGAUGAUAUUACCUUAUGGGCAGUCUUGUUUAUUGGACAUGUGGAGAAAAUGUGCCAGACACAACAGUCUCAGCUCUUGUGCAAUGAGAAACUGAGCUACUCUUUUUGGGCAAUAACUUGCCAAUGUGUUCAAGUGCUUCUUAUAUUGUAAGCUAAUGUUUUGGGCCUUCUCAAUGUAUCAAACACUGUCCUAAGCACUUUGUGAGUUUUAAGAUAUUUAAUCUUCCUAAUAUCAUUUUUCAGAUAGACCCUACUGUUAUCCCUAUUUUGUAGGUGAAGAUAAUGAGUCAUGGUGACGUUAAUUACCUUGCCCAGGGUCACCCAGUUGGUUCUCCUUCUCCAGAGUUUGGCAAAAUCAGACAUGAGCCUAUAGAGACAUGUUGAAUGGCAAGCACAAGGGCCAGAGGAGGAUCUGGAUUGCCCUCUGCAGGCAGAUGGCCUCUCAGGAACCUAGAAGUGCGUACUUGUGGCUAAUGCAAGAAGGCACCCAUCAUCUCCCUACCAGCAUCGCCAACAUCACCACCAUCAGCAUCACCUUCACCACCAUCACCAUCAUAAGCAUAAGCAUCAUCAUCACCACCACCACCACCACCACCGCCACCAGCAUCUCCACCACUGUCACCAUCGUCAUCAUCACCGAAAUCACCAUGAUCAUUACCAUUAUCACCAUCAUCUUUAUCUCAUCAUCAUCACCACCACCACUACCACCAUCAUCAUCAUCAUUGACAUCACCACCACAAUCACCAGCAUCAGCAUUAUUUUUACCAUUAUCACUAGCAUCAUCAUUGCUAUCACCACCACCAGCAUCACCUUCACCAUCACCAUCAUCAUCAUCAACAUCACAGCAUCAUCACCAUUAUCACCAUCAUCUUUAUCACCAGCAGCAGCAGCAGCAUCACUACCAGCAUCAUCUCCACCACUUCAUCAUCAACAUCACCAGCAUUAUCUUCACCAUUAUCACUAUCAUCUUGAUCACUACCACCACCAUUAUCAUCAUUACCAUCAGCACCACUAUCAUCUUUCUCUUCCUCUCCUCCUCUUCCCACUGCUCCUCCUCCCCUUUUUCUACCCUCCUCCCCUUCCUUCUUCUCCUUCAUUAUUUUCAUCAUCAUUCUCAUUCUCAUUUCAACAUGCAGUGUUUAGAGAUAUGGGAGCUAUAUGGAUACUGAGGUACAUGAGAGCAGAAGAGAUGAUGUUAAAAAUUGGUGGAAUACAUUUAGGGCUUUUUCCUGAAUUAUUUUAAUCUCUAGGGCUUAUUUAACUCCCUGAUGUGGAAACAUGACCUGUGAGACAAUCUUGAUGUAACAGCUUUUCUUUCAGUCUGAUAAAUUACAUUUUUUUUCCAAAAUAGCAUUAAUAAAGACAAGCCAGAGAUAGUAUUUUUUACUCAUCUGCAUUUAUAUUUGUCAAACUCACACACCUGCUUAAUGUGUAAAGGUCAGGCUUUUAGACAGAAAUCUCACAUGGAUCUCCCUGAAUUAUGUAGAAGUUUACCUGGCUGGAUAAUUUGCAUGACUUUUUACAGAAACUGUAGAGAACACGUUCCAAAUCAUAAUAUACACAUUGGUGUUUAUAUUUUCUCCUUUGAAGAGGGCAAUAACCCUGAGAAAGAUGUCAGUACUGAUACCACGGAGCAGACCCUGAGUAAGAGCACCUGGUGUCUCCAGUGAUUGAAAUGAUAUAUUAAUGAGUUCUUAUUCUCAGUGACAUUUUACCAGGAACCAAUUAACCACAGUAAUUACAUCUCAUCCAUUGCGUGCUCUGAAAUGUGAAGUGCAUGGGUAUUGGGUUGCUGUGUUUGUUGAGCAUUUUUUCCCCAUGUGACAAACCUUUAAGCAUUAAAACUUUGAGUCAUUUAUUAUGUUUCUUUUGCCUUCUGGGUGUCACAGCAUGAAGGAAAAUCUUGUAAAGGAUAGUUUUAUAACCACACAGAUACUGGUCCGUGUAAAUGAGUAUAGCCAAUGCUAGAAAGCCUCACCAUAGCUGUGCUUCAAAGGGUGGCAGAAAAUACAGUGGGGAGAGGGCACAUUGAUAAGAACAGAAAGAGUUAAACCUUCAUGCUAAAAACAGAUGGCUUAGGGAAUGAGAGAUUGAAUAAGGGGUCCUGAUUAGUUGACUCUUCUAGAUAAUGGGGUGAGUGCUGAUAAAUGGAAAACUUUUUUCAUUGUCAUUUCAAAACUGUUUAGAAAAAUUCAAAAAUAUCGCAGUUUGAAUUUCUAAAGUAAAUAACUUUUCUAUACUUCACUUCCCUCACUAUAAAAUUUGGAUAAUAAGUGUACUUGACUAAUAAGUUUGUUGUGAAGACAAGUAAGUUAACAUAGGUACAAGCACUUAGCAUGUAAUGAGUGUAUUGUAAAUGCUCAAUAAAUGCCAGUUAUUAUUUUAUUAAGUCUAUUAAAUAUAAUUUGACAGUCUAAAACUUGGAACUUUUAGAAAAUAGAACUAUUGUGUUUAUAAAAUAUAACAUAUAAUUGGGUAAAAAUUAAAAUAGUAUGUAAAAAUGAAAAAGCACAAGAAACUACAAUGAGCUCAAAUCUCACAAGUUCAAAGAUUCAUAUUUAACCACUGUUAAAAUAUUUUGGGAAAUCCUUAAUCUCUCUAUAAAUAAAUAUGAAUAUAUGUCCAGGUAAAUACACCUAACUUUAUGCUAUUGAAUCAUAACAUGUUUGUCUGUGAGUGACCUCUAUCACUUACACAGUAAGUCCCACAUGUUUUUAACAAAUCGAUAUGACUUCCAUCAUCCUUUUUAAUGGCUGUGUAAUAUAUUAUGGAGCAUACAAAUCAUAAAUCAUUUGACUAGCCCUGUUCUCCCCAGUGAUGAACAUUUGGAUUGUUUUCUUUCUUUUUUUUUUUAAAUUAUAUAAUUUCUUGUAUAUGCCUCAUUUACAUUUACUUCUUUAUUGUAAAUUCAGAGGUUUAAGAUUGUUGGGUGAAUAUUUUGAAUAUUUUUGUACUGCUCUUCUAAAAUGGUAAGGCUAAUUUAUAUUCAACAUGGGUAAGCCUUUUUAGGCAGAGGUAAGAGGUUGAUGUCAGGGAAGAAGGGUGUUUUAAAUAGAAGUGUGACAGUGUGAGCAAAAGCAGAGAGAUUGGAAAAUAUAUGCUGUAUUUGGGGUGACUUCCCACUUUUCUUGAGCUUGUUAUUUUUCACUUCACAUUUUGUGGAACUCCAUAUCUUAUAUUAACUGUUAUAGGUGAUCCAUUUUUCUAAAAGGUAUAGUGUGGGUGAACCCUGAUCUCUUCAAUUUUUUAAUCACUAUUGGUUACUUUUUUAACACUAGGGUUUACUACGAGGAACAAUUAUAACAAAAAGUUUUUAAGUUCUGGCGGUUUUAUUUAUUUCUGUGGGAUAGAUUUCUAGGAUUGAGUUGGCUGAAUUGAAGAGUACAUAUAUUUAAAUUUUUAAUCUAUAUUUUAAUCAGCAUUUCCAGAUUGGUUCCUCAAGGGGCUGUAACAUUUCACACUUCCACCUGAAAGUAGAAUUUUUCCACAUCUCAACCUGUAAUAGGUAUGUUCCGUCCAAAUUUAUGCCAGUUUAACAGGCAUAGCAUAAGUUUGACUUACAUUUCUUUGGUUACUGGUGAAUUGAAGAACCGUGCACAUGUUUUCAGCUCAUUUGGGCUUGCUAAUCUGUGAACUAGACAAAAGACCUCAUUUCUUUUGCCCACUACUACAUUAAAAUUAAAAAAAAAUGUCUAUUGAAAAUAAUGCAUGCACAUCGCAAAAAAUAAAGUAAGACAGAAGCAUUUAGAAUGAAGGCAACAGCCACUUGUCCUAACCUUCCUUACUCUUAUUCCUAAUCCCCAAAGUCAGGCCACAGAAUCCACAUUAGUUUAUUUAAGCAGAAAGUGAUAUAUGUCAGGGUAAUAUGUGGUUUACAGAACUUCUGCGUUCUUCAGAGAAGAUGUGACAGGGCCAGGAGUGAAUGUUUUAUCCAGGAGAAACCCCCAAGCCCAAAAUGAGAAUUUUGGGAAAAAAUGCCUCUGCUUGGUAGCCUGCUACUCAGCACCUGGGAUGUUACGAAAGAGAGAAGAGAGUUUAUAGCCAGCUGCCUCAGAAAAUACCAUGUUACCUCCUAAGGCAGCUGGCUACUGACAACGGGGGAAGGGGAGUUUCUGACCUUUGUCUCUGUAGCAUACAGACUCACAGAAAGGGGGUUGGCAUGGGUAUUGGGUGAGCUAGCUGUGGUGUCUGCUGCAGCUAUAUUCUAGUCUACCCCUUCCUCGUCUCUUUAUUCUGUGACAGUAACUCCCAGGUACAUUAAAAUAAAAAUGCAACUUGCCAGAUGCCUUUCCUGAGCAAACUUCCUGAAACCUGUCAGAAAAUGUAUUGAUUUUUUUCCCCUCGUCACCUUAGAUAGUUUGUCUGAAGAUCUGAAUUUUAGAUUCAAUAUUAUAAUUUUCUACAGAGCUUUGAAAUCAUGACUCAUUGUCUUCUAAAUAAUGUUACUAUUGAAAACUGAUUUGCGUUCCCUGGUAGGUGAGGCAUUUUGUUUGUUUGGUUGGUUGGUUAAACAAACAAAAAAAAAAUUUAUGUCUGUGGAGACUUCUGAGUCUUUUCACUCAUUGAGGCCAUCUAUAGUUUUGUGAGGAUGUGUGGUCAGCACUCAUCUGCCUCUCUCAAAAGAAGAAUCAUCUGUCUCUUCAGUUCAGGAAAAUUUUUUUAUCUUGUUGGUUAUUUAUGCUCCUUAAUAUUUUUCCUGUGGUGUUUUUUUGUUUCUGCUUUUGUUUUUGGUUGUUGUUAUUGUUGUUAUUUGUUUUUUCUUCUCCUUCAGAAACUGUUGUUAGAUGGAUGUUGGUUGGGCCUUCUGUGUUUAUCUUCCAUUUCAUUUGUAUUUUCUACCCUUGUCUCUGCCUUAGGAUCUGAAGUUGUUUUCAGCUUUAUCUAGGCUACCUGUUGUAUUUUUGUUCUAAAAAUCACGAUCUUCUUUUCUAAGAAUAUUUAUAGAAUUGCUCCCUUUUCACGGCAGACUAUUCUUGUUUAAUGAAUGUAAAACUUUUAACGUCUUUGUGAGGAUACUAACUAAAAACUUUAAAUCUCUGCCCCCGCCCCCAUCUCUCUUUCCUCUGGGAUUAGUUGUUUUGUGUGUUCUUCUUGAUCUUUCUCUUUUGUGUGGGAAUUAGACCUUCCCUGGCAGACUGUUCAAAUUUUUUUGGAGAGUGUUUAUCCAGCUUUAUUCCAAGGGCAAGCAUUUAAGUGUUACCAAUUGUUCUGACCACCGUAUGUGGCACCAACUUGUAUAGCUGCUUGGAACUAUCUUGUAUCUAAAGCCUUAUUUUUUGUCCUGCUUCUUACUCCACUCUGUAUCACCUUACCAUAUGUGCUAGUCAGAAUAAUGGCCCUCAAAGACGUCCACAUUCUAAUCCCUGGAACUUCUGAAUACAUUGCCUUACCUAGCAAUAGGGACUUUGCAAUAUGAUUAAGUUAGGGAUCUUGAGAUGGGGAGAGUAUCCUAGAUUAUCCAGGUGGCCCAAAUAAUCACAAAGGUUAUUGUGAGAGGUAGGCUGUAAGGACAGAGCCAGAGAUGGAGACAUGACAGCGGGAGCAUUGGCAGGGUGCUUGGCCCUGGACCAGGGAGCGUGGGCAGCCCCUAGAAAGUAGUGAAGACAUGGAAACACAUUUCCCCUAGAACCUCCAGAAAGAACACAGCCUUUGGUUGGUCUGUAAGACCCAUUUCAGACUCCUGAACUGCCAAAGAACCAAGAUAAUUGGUGUUGUUUUAAACCACUUAGUUUGUGGUAAAUUUGCAUACUCCAAGUCAUGGAAGAAGUGCACAUCUGAGGGGAAGCUCACCUCCCAUUCCACGGACUUUUCUCAGCAUAUUCUGGGCUGUGGCCUCAUCCAUCUAUUUACAGACCAGAACUAUCCCAUCCCCUUUUUAAUUUCUGGAAGGCUGUAAAGCAUUUCUGAUUGGGCAGUGGUCCACCCCUCCCUAUUCCUAGUGCUGUCAGGAGAUGGUUUUCUUUUCUGUUUCUUUCUGGUCAUAGAGUGGGUUUGAGAAGGGAGAGAAAGCAUCAGAGUGCUCUUGGAGUCAGUGACACCCUGAUGAACACAUGGGUUUACAGAAUGCUUCCAAAGCCUCAUUAUUUUAAAGUCACAGCUGUCAAAGAUGACCCAUCAGAAGGAAUUCUUCUGGCUCUUCCUCCAGCUCCCUGAAACCUCACUUUAGUUCAAUACAGGCAUUUGUGAGACAGCUGGUAGAGAUUAGCAGUGCAAGCUCUGUAAAUUAUGCAGAGUGUUUCUUCACAGAAAGAUAACUGGAGUGAAGCACCAACCGGGCCACUAAGCCCCAGGCUCCAAGCCACAGAGCCAGCCUCUCAGCCAUCUGAUGCAAAUUCCAGCCAGGUACCGCUUUGCUCGGGGCCCCAGUCCGGCCCUGCAAUGAGGAGAAACACUGCUUUCCUCCAGGAAACUUUGGGAAAGUACCAGAAAGCUGGGCAGGCCUGUGUGGAAGCCUGUAUUCUGGAGUGGUGACUGCUGUCUCUUGGUCUCCUCCUGCAGGCAGUGACCUUAUUGCCUUGUUAAGGCUCAUUACUUGACUACCGAGUUCGGUUCUCACAUUUCUUCAAGUUCUGCAACUUCCUUGCGCUUCAUGGAGAGAAGUCAUGUAUCUAGUGGGUUGGCAGCCUUGGCAUUCAAAGGGGAGAAGCUUCGAUGUUCCCUCCAGCAUGGGCACAGUCCACAAAACACAGCCGUUUCUUCACCAGUUAUGGCUGAGACUUGGAAGGUAAAAUGUCACUUUUAUUGUUUGACUAUUUCUAUCAUUUGAGGAAUAGUAGAAAGUGUCGAGGUUGUAGAAGACAGACAGGCCUGAGUUUAAUAUUCAGCUCUGCUAUCUCCUAACCAUGUGAUUGUGGGUACAUUUCUUAAGCCUCCAUAAAUGUCAGAUUUUCCCCUUUCAGCUGAAAAGGUGGAUAAUGUUUAUAACAUAGUCCUUUUGUGAAGAUUAAAUGAAAUAAUGAACAUAAAGCUGUUAGCACAUAAAUAUUCAGCCCUUGUCUGCCUCUACUGUAAGGGCUCACAAUGUCUUUGAAGAUGUUAGCAAGAGCUAAUGAUUCUCACAUACUUUUUAUGGCAUUUUUUUUUCUGAUUAUGAACACUAUAAACGUAAGCUUAUGCAGAGACUUUGAAAAAAAAACCCAGAAAAUAUUAUAAACAGAACUCUUACUAUCAAUCUCACCCUCUAGAGAUAAUUGCUAUUUAGCAUUUUGGUAUUUUUCCCAUUGUUUUUACAAACAAUGAUGGUGUGGAUGUUCAUUUUGCAUGGAAAGCUGUAACCUGCUUUUGUCACUUAACAUUACACGGAUACUUAUCUUCUCGACAAAGGGAUUUCCUCUAUCAGCAGCUGUGGGUGUCUAGUCUUGGUGGGAUUUGGUAUGAGGAAGAUUAGACAGGAGGCAUGUUGGCCCUUUAAAAGGAAACAUUUUAAGGGAGUGAAGUGUAGUGCUUUGGUUUAGCAAUCCUAUAAUGUAAUUAUGCUUGUGUUUCAAGAUGGCAUGUUUGGGGUAUGAGAGGUUUAGAAUACA